rnacentral:lncRNA from 1 species
AGAAUUGUGGUCACAAUUGAUCUUUUCCUCCCCAGGUGCAGCCCUGAGGUGGAGGUACCUGCAUGUUCUUCUGGCCUGGAAGAAGACAUUCAGAACAGAGAGGAAAAGCCAACUCACCUUCAUAAUGUGCCAGGUGCUUUCCAAUGUCCUCAGGCAAUGCUCUCAACUCUUUUACAAGACAGAAAGGACUGAAUGCAUGAGGAGGCCUGAGGCCCAAGGAAGGAGAUUCCGUAAUUGUCCUGGGUUGCAUGCUGACUGUCCAGCCCUCAAAUCUCUCAACUGAGACUCAGAUCUGCUGACGCCCUGCAUUCUUCCAGCUGAUUGAUGGACUUCUUUCUAAUGGAGCUGCCGAAAGAACAAAAUGCACAAAUUGUGCUUUGCCCCUAUUAUGACUCUGGUCCAAUAGAAUUCUUGUCAACUACCGUAUUUUACUUCUGCCCCUGCUCUCUGAAAUGCAUGAUUUAUUUUAUAAUUAAU